rnacentral:rRNA from 1 species
GAUGAACGCUGGCGGCGUGCCUAAUACAUGCAAGUCGAACGAACAGACGAGGAGCUUGCGCCUCUGAGGGUAGCGGCGGACGGGUGAGUAACACGUGGAUAACCUACCUAUAAGACUGGGGGAACAUCGGGAAACCGGAGCUAAUACCGGAGAACAUGUUGAACCGCAUGGUUCAACAGUGAAAGACGGUCUUGCUGUCACUUAUAGACGGAUCCGCGCCGCAUUAGCUAGUUGGUAAGGUAACGGCUCACCAAGGCAACGAUGCGUAGCCGACCUGAGAGGGUGAUCGGCCACACUGGAACUGAGACACGGUCCAGACUCCUACGGGAGGCAGCAGUAGGGAAUCUUGCGCAAUGGGCGCAAGCCUGACGCAGCCACGCCGCGUGAGUGAAGAAGGUCUUCGGAUCGUAAAGCUCUGUUAUUAGGGAAGAACAACUGUGUAAGUAACUCUGCACGUCUUGACGGUACCUAAUCAGAAAGCCCCGGCUAACUACGUG